GCCUUGGGAUCAGGUUCAAUGGAUCAUAUCUAUAAUGAUGAAAAUUUGACCAGAUUAAUUUCUAUUAUCUGAUUUUUGUCAGAAUCUGUGCAAACUUGCACAUCCAUAUCGGAAUUGUGCUCCAAGUCGAGAUUCAUUCCGUCAUAAAAAAAAAAGAUAAGAAAUCCGUCACAUAAAAAAUGUGUGUAGAUGUUAGCCACCCAUUCCUAAGGCCA
rnacentral:lncRNA from 1 species